AAGUCACUGAAUUCUUGAGCCAGUAUUCCUAUAAAAUCCUCGCAGUCGACAGAGGUAACAUUUCCAUCAGAAACAGCGUUUUUAUUGAGGAGGAACGAACCAAGCGAGUGCCCUGAAACCAGCGGAGCAGCUGCAGGGGCUGAAGGGAACAGAAAGGGCUCCCGGCACCUUUUGCCUCCGUUCUCUGCCAUUCCCCAAAAGGCGUCGCAGUCCCUGAAGAGGUGUCUGUCAUGCAGCCUGCCAAAAUAAAGACCUGUAAAAUCCUA